UUUAUGGAGAGUUUGAUCCUGGCUCAGGAUGAACGCUGGCGGCGUGCCUAAUACAUGCAAGUCGAGCGAACGGACGAGAAGCUUGCUUCUCUGAUGUUAGCGGCGGACGGGUGAGUAACACGUGGAUAACCUACCUAUAAGACUGGGAUAACUUCGGGAAACCGGAGCUAAUACCGGAUAAUAUUUUGAACCGCAUGGUUCAAAAGUGAAAGACGGUCUUGCUGUCACUUAUAGAUGGAUCCGCGCUGCAUUAGCUAGUUGGUAAGGUAACGGCUUACCAAGGCAACGAUGCAUAGCCGACCUGAGAGGGUGAUCGGCCACACUGGAACUGAGACACGGUCCAGACUCCUACGGGAGGCAGCAGUAGGGAAUCUUCCGCAAUGGGCGAAAGCCUGACGGAGCAACGCCGCGUGAGUGAUGAAGGUCUUCGGAUCGUAAAACUCUGUUAUUAGGGAAGAACAUAUGUGUAAGUAACUGUGCACAUCUUGACGGUACCUAAUCAGAAAGCCACGGCUAACUACGUGCCAGCAGCCGCGGUAAUACGUAGGUGGCAAGCGUUAUCCGGAAUUAUUGGGCGUAAAGCGCGCGUAGGCGGUUUUUUAAGUCUGAUGUGAAAGCCCACGGCUCAACCGUGGAGGGUCAUUGGAAACUGGAAAACUUGAGUGCAGAAGAGGAAAGUGGAAUUCCAUGUGUAGCGGUGAAAUGCGCAGAGAUAUGGAG
rnacentral:rRNA from 1 species